GCCUGGGUGGCUCAGUCGGUUAAGUGUCUGACUUCGGCUCAGGUCAUGAUCUCGCAGUCUGUGAGUUCAAGCCCCGCAUCAGGCU
rnacentral:tRNA from 1 species